CUGUGGACGGAGCAUGAAGGCGCGCAGUGCAGGAGCGCCGAUGACCUUCUGCUCUCCAAGGUCCAGGUGGCUCCGGGCCCGCUGUCCGCGUCUGCCACCAAGUGCUCCUCGGCGCCGCUGCUCGCUGGCUCCCAGAAUUCAACGCUGAAGAAGUCGCGGCACGAGAGGCAUAUCCCAG